CUACGGGUCGCUGCAGUGGGGAAUAUUGCACAAUGGAGGAAACUCUGAUGCAGCAACGCCGCGUGGAGGAUGACACUUUUCGGAGCGUAAACUCCUUUUAUAUAGGAAGAAGAUGACGGUACUAUAUGAAUAAGCGCCGGCCAACUCCGUGCCAGCAGCCGCGGUAAUACGGAGGGCGCAAGCGUUACUCGGAAUCACUGGGCGUAAAGAGCGUGUAGGCGGAUUAAAAAGUCAGAAGUGAAAUCCUAUAGCUUAACUAUAGAACUGCUUCUGAAACUCUUAAUCUAGAAUAUGGGAGAGGUAGGUGGAAUUUAUGGUGUAGGGGUAAAAUCCGUAGAGAUCAGAAGGAAUACCGAUUGCGAAGGCGAUCUACUAGAACAUUAUUGACGCUGAGACGCGAAAGCGUGGGGAGCAAACAGGAUUAGAUACCCCUGUAGUC
rnacentral:rRNA from 1 species